CACGUAGGGCGCGAGCGUUGUCCGGAAUUAUUGGGCGUAAAGAGCUCGUAGGCGGCCUGUUGCGUCCGCUGUGAAAGCCCGGGGCUAACCCCGGGUCGGCAGUGGAUACGGGCAGGCUAGAGGUAGGUAGGGGAGAAUGGAAUUCCCGGUGUAGCGGUGAAAUGCGCAGAUAUCGGGAGGAACACCGGUGGCGAAGGCGGUCCCUGGCCUUACCUGACGCUGAGGAGCGAAAGCGUGGGGAGCGAACAGG
rnacentral:rRNA from 1 species